rnacentral:lncRNA from 1 species
ACGGAGUUGAUCUGAUUAAGAAAACUGAAGAAAAAGUUAAAGUGAUAUGAAAUUAUUUAAAAGCGGCAUCGGAUAGCCAAAAGUCAUAUGCUGAUCUAAAGAGAAAAAAAAUCAAGUUCCAAGUUAGAGAUAGAGUAUUCUUGAAAGUAUCUCCAUGGAAAAAGGUAUUGAGGUUUGGUCGGAAAGGCAAACUGAGUCCACGAUUCAUC